AGCAGUCGCCGCGGUAAUACGUAGGGUGCGAGCGUUAAUCGGAAUUACUGGGCGUAAAACGUGCGCAGGCGGUUAUAUAAGACAGAUGUGAAAUCCCCGGGCUCCACCUGGGACCUGCAUUUGUGACUGUAUAGCUAGAGUACGGUAGAGGGGGAUGGAAUUCCGCGUGUAGCAGUGAAAUGCGUAGAUAUGCGGAGGAACACCGAUGGCGAAGGCAAUCCCCUGGACCUGUACUGACGCUCAUGCACGAAAGCGUGGGGAGCAAACAGGAUUAGAUACCCCUGUAGUCCCUGUCUCUUAUAA
rnacentral:rRNA from 1 species